GUGGCUCCUGCGGGCCCAGUCCUCCGCUGGGCUGCGGCCGCCCAUCUUCCCAACCCGCCGAAGCAGUUGAGAACCCGCAUUUCUGACGAGCUGCCAGGCGACACCAAGGGCGCUGAUUUACGUUUUGCAGUUUCUGUUUGCACACGUUGCAGUGUAUAAUGAUUACAUUCAUCGUGCGGUGUUGGUCCUCCAGUCCCCCUCCUGACUCCGUCCACCCUCUGCGCACCCAAAUCCUCCAGUCUUCUCCCGGUAUGAUGACCUGCCACGCACGUGGUCUCUACCCCUCCUCCACAAUCCCGUGAAAGCGACUCCCCAGCUGUGUCUCCUUGGAGGGAAUCUUGCACUCUUCUGACACCCUCCGGUGCCCACAAUAAGGCCUCUUUAUCUCAACUGCGCCGAAAAACCUAAGAACAUCCAUUCAUUUUUCAUCCUCUUCCUCUCCCAGCGCCACACCCAUCUCUUGGUCUCCUUCCCCUGUGCAAAAGGUCUAUGUUU
rnacentral:lncRNA from 1 species